rnacentral:lncRNA from 1 species
CUGUCCAACUAAGGGCAUACUAUGCAGGCAGCACCCUGAGCUCGACAUAAAUGCAUCAAAUGAUGCGCCUACUCCACGCUUUCUAAGGACUGUCCCCUAGCACUCACAUGUCAACUUGCCUCCUUAUCAUCUUACUAGCAGGCAGAAGUUCCUGGUAUAUAGUCUGAGACAGAGAAAAGGGUUAUGUAGUGAGUGUAGAAGAAAGGGGACAUGCCACAAUGUUAGAGAGACCAAAGUCUGCAUUAUCUAAACUUAUUUUAUUGUCAGCCAGUCCACACAGGUUUUGUUCUCAUGCAUCCCUCUUAAGCUUCCAAACUUAAAGGGACACUAUAGUCAUCAGAACAACUACAGCUCAUUGUAUUUGUUCUGGUAAGUACAAUCAUUCCCUCCAGGCUUUUUGCAGUAAACACUGUCUUUUCAGAGAAAAUAACUCUGAUGGCCACUCCUUAGAUGGCUGCUAGAGGUGCCACCUAGGGCAGUAUUGCCUAGUGUGCAGCACUGCCAUUCAGUGUCUCCACCCUCUGCAUGCAGACACUGAACUUUCCUCAUAGAGAUGCAUUGAAUCAGUUUAUCUUCAUGAGGAGAUGCUGAUUGGCCAGG